rnacentral:rRNA from 1 species
UACGUAGGGUGCAAGCGUUAAUCGGAAUUACUGGGCGUAAAGCGUGCGCAGGCGGUUUUGUAAGCCAGAUGUGAAAUCCCCGGGCUUAACCUGGGAAUGGCAUUUGGGACUGCAAGGCUGGAGUACGGCAGAGGAGACUGGAAUUCCUGGUGUAGCAGUGAAAUGCGUAGAGAUCAGGAGGAAUACCGAUGGUGAAGGCAGGUCUCUGGGCUGAUACUGACGCUCAUGCACGAAAGCGUGGGGAGCAAACAGG